UCACUUUCUGGUGUCUGUGAUCUCAGCGCUGCAGGAUGACGCGAGACUCUCGCGUCCCUGGUUUUCUUGGUCGCAGCGUUGCGUUAUUGGGUGGAAAGGCAUCAUCUUAGAGUCACCCUUCUUUGGAAACCACUGUCUCGGAGAAAUCCCUCCAAGACACAGGUAAUUAGAGAGGGUAUGUGAACCAAGGAGCCAAUCAAAUUCUCCCACAUAAGAAUUUGGGACACAGAAGAUGAAGCUGAGGACCACAAGGAUUUAGAUACUGAUGCUAUGGUGGCUUUCACUGCACUGUCCUGCCUGGGGUUGGGGAAGAGGUGCUGCAGAGAGAGAGUGUCACUCUGUUAUUCAGGCUAGUGUGAAGUGGUGUGAUCAUAGCUCAUUGCAGCCUCGAACUCCUAGGCUCAAGCAAUCCUCCUACCUCCAACUUCCCAGCAGCUAGGAC